rnacentral:rRNA from 1 species
GAUGAACGCUGGCGGCGUGCCUAAUACAUGCAAGUCGAGCGAACAGACGAGGAGCUUGCUCCUCUGACGUUAGCGGCGGACGGGUGAGUAACACGUGGAUAACCUACCUAUAAGACUGGGAUAACUUCGGGAAACCGGAGCUAAUACCGGAUAAUAUCUUGAACCGCAUGGUUCAAUAGUGAAAGACGGUUUUGCUGUCACUUAUAGAUGGACCCGCUCCGAAUUAGCUAUUGGGUAGGUAAAGGCUUACCAAGGCAACGAUACGUAGCCGACCUGAGAGGGUGUCCGCCCACACUGGAACGGAGACACGGUCCAGCUCCCGCCGGGAGGCAGCAGUAGGGAAUCUUCCGCAAUGGGCGAAAGCCUGACGGAGCAACGCCGCGUGAGGGAUGAAGGUCUUCGGAUCGUAAACCUCUGUUAUUAGGGAAGAACAAAUGUGUAAGUAACUAUGCACGUCUUGACGGUACCUAAUCAGAAAGCCACGGCUAACUACGUG